rnacentral:rRNA from 1 species
CAGCAGUGGGGAAUAUUGCACAAUGGGGGAAACCCUGAUGCAGCGACGCCGCGUGGAGGAAGAAGGUCUUCGGAUUGUAAACUCCUGUUGUUGAGGAAGAUAAUGACGGUACUCAACAAGGAAGUGACGGCUAACUACGUGCCAGCAGCCGCGGUAAAACGUAGGUCACAAGCGUUGUCCGGAAUUACUGGGUGUAAAGGGAGCGCAGGCGGGAAGACAAGUUGGAAGUGAAAUCCAUGGGCUCAACCCAUGAACUGCUUUCAAAACUGUUUUUCUUGAGUAGUGCAGAGGUAGGCGGAAUUCCCGGUGUAGCGGUGGAAUGCGUAGAUAUCGGGAGGAACACCAGUGGCGAAGGCGGCCUACUGGGCACCAACUGACGCUGAGGCUCGAAAGUGUGGGUAGCAAACAGGAUUAGAUACCCUGGUAGUCCACACCGUAAACGAUGAUUACUAGGUGUUGGAGGAUUGACCCCUUCAGUGCCGCAGUUAACACAAUAAGUAAUCCACCUGGGGAGUACGACCGCAAGGUUGAAACUCAAAGGAAUUGACGGGGGCCCGCACAAGCAGUGGAGUAUGUGGUUUAAUUCGACGCAACGCGAAGAACCUUACCAAGUCUUGACAUCCCUUGACGAUGCUGGAAACAGUAUUUCUCUUCGGAGCAAGGAGACAGGUGGUGCAUGGUUGUCGUCAGCUCGUGUCGUGAGAUGUUGGGUUAAGUCCCGCAACGAGCGCAACCCUUAUGGUCAGUUACUACGCAAGAGGACUCUGGCCAGACUGCCGUUGACAAAACGGAGGAAGGUGGGGAUGACGUCAAAUCAUCAUGCCCUUUAUGACUUGGGCUACACACGUACUACAAUGGCGUUAAACAAAGAGAAGCAAGACCGCGAGGUGGAGCAAAACUCAGAAACAACGUCUCAGUUCAGAUUGCAGGCUGCAACUCGCCUGCAUGAAGUCGGAAUUGCUAGUAAUCGCGGAUCAGCAUGCCGCGGUGAAUACGUUCCCGGGCCUUGUACACACCGCCCGUCACACCAUGAGAGCCGGGGGGACCCGAAGUCGGUAGUCUAACCGCAAGGAGGACGCCGCCGAAGGUAAAACUGGUGAUUGGGGUGAAGUCGUAACAAGGUAGCCGUAGGAGAACCUGCGGCUG